GAAAGGCCCUGCUUUUGUGGGGUGCUCGAGUGGCGAACGGGUGAGUAACACGUGAGUAACCUGCCCUUGACUUUGGGAUAACUUCAGGAAACUGGGGCUAAUACCGGAUAGGAGCUCCUGCUGCAUGGUGGGGGUUGGAAAGUUUCGGCGGUUGGGGAUGGACUCGCGGCUUAUCAGCUUGUUGGUGGGGUAGUGGCUUACCAAGGCUUUGACGGGUAGCCGGCCUGAGAGGGUGACCGGCCACAUUGGGACUGAGAUACGGCCCAGACUCCUACGGGAGGCAGCAGUGGGGAAUAUUGCACAAUGGGCGGAAGCCUGAUGCAGCAACGCCGCGUGCGGGAUGACGGCCUUCGGGUUGUAAACCGCUUUCGCCUGUGACGAAGCGUGAGUGACGGUAAUGGGUAAAGAAGCACCGGCUAACUACGUGCCAGCAGCCGCGGUGAUACGUAGGGUGCGAGCGUUGUCCGGAUUUAUUGGGCGUAAAGGGCUCGUAGGUGGUUGAUCGCGUCGGAAGUGUAAUCUUGGGGCUUAACCCUGAGCGUGCUUUCGAUACGGGUUGACUUGAGGAAGGUAGGGGAGAAUGGAAUUCCUGGUGGAGCGGUGGAAUGCGCAGAUAUCAGGAGGAACACCAGUGGCGAAGGCGGUUCUCUGGGCCUUUCCUGACGCUGAGGAGCGAAAGCGUGGGGAGCGAACAGGCUUAGAUACCCUGGUAGUCCACGCUGUAAACGGUGGGUACUAGGUGUGGGGUCCAUUCCACGGGUUCCGUGCCGUAGCUAACGCUUUAAGUACCCCGCCUGGGGAGUACGGCCGCAAGGCUAAAACUCAAAGGAAUUGACGGGGCCCCGCACAAGCGGCGGAGCAUGCGGAUUAAUUCGAUGCAACGCGUAGAACCUUACCUGGGUUUGACAUGGAUCGGGAGUGCUCAGAGAUGGGUGUGCCUCUUUUGGGGUCGGUUCACAGGUGGUGCAUGGCUGUCGUCAGCUCGUGUCGUGAGAUGUUGGGUUAAGUCCCGCAACGAGCGCAACCCUUGUUCACUGUUGCCAGCACGUUAUGGUGGGGACUCAGUGGAGACCGCCGGGGUCAACUCGGAGGAAGGUGGGGAUGACGUCAAGUCAUCAUGCCCCUUAUGUCCAGGGCUUCACGCAUGCUACAAUGGCUGGUACAGAGAGUGGCGAGCCUGUGAGGGUGAGCGAAUCUCGGAAAGUCGGUCUCAGUUCGGAUUGGGGUCUGCAACUCGACCUCAUGAAGUCGGAGUCGCUAGUAAUCGCAGAUCAGCAACGCUGCGGUGAAUACGUUCCCGGGGCU
rnacentral:rRNA from 1 species